AAAUUGAAGAGUUUGAUCAUGGCUCAGAUUGAACGCUGGCGGCAGGCCUAACACAUGCAAGUCGAACGGUAGCACAGAGAGCUUGCUCUCGGGUGACGAGUGGCGGACGGGUGAGUAAUGUCUGGGAAACUGCCCGAUGGAGGGGGAUAACUACUGGAAACGGUAGCUAAUACCGCAUAACGUCGCAAGACCAAAGAGGGGGACCUUCGGGCCUCUUGCCAUCGGAUGUGCCCAGAUGGGAUUAGCUUGUAGGUGAGGUAACGGCUCACCUAGGCGACGAUCCCUAGCUGGUCUGAGAGGAUGACCAGCCACACUGGAACUGAGACACGGUCCAGACUCCUACGGGAGGCAGCAGUGGGGAAUAUUGCACAAUGGGCGCAAGCCUGAUGCAGCCAUGCCGCGUGUAUGAAGAAGGCCUUCGGGUUGUAAAGUACU
rnacentral:rRNA from 1 species